GACGAACGCUGGCGGCGUGCUUAACACAUGCCAGUCGAACGAUGAAGAAGAGAAACGCGAACUUCGGUUCAAAUUUCACUUCGGAUUAGUGGCAGACGGGUGAGUAACGCGUGAGCAACCUACCUCUUACAAAGGGAUAGCCUCGGGAAACCGUGAUUAAUACCAUAUGACACAUUCAUAAGGCAUCUUAAGAAUGUUAAAGCUACGGCGGUAAGAGAUGGGCUCGCGUCCCAUUAGCUAGUUGGUGAGGUAACGGCCCACCAAGGCGACGAUGGGUAACCGGCCUGAGAGGGUGAACGGUCACAUUGGAACUGAGACACGGUCCAAACUCCUACGGGAGGCAGCAGUGGGGAAUAUUGCACAAUGGAGGGAACUCUGAUGCAGCGACGCCGCGUGAGCGAUGAAGGAAUUCGUUUCGUAAAGCUCUGUUCUAUGGGAAGAAAAGGACUGUACCAUAGGAGAAGGCCCCGGCUAAAUACGUG
rnacentral:rRNA from 1 species